AGGACGAACGCUGGCGGCGUGCUUAACACAUGCAAGUCGAGCGGAAAGGCCCUUCGGGGUACUCGAGCGGCGAACGGGUGAGUAACACGUGAGCAACCUGCCCUUAGCUUCGGGAUAGCUCCGGGAAACCGGAAUUAAUACCGAAUAUGACUUUGGCUGACAUCAGCAGAAGUGGAAAGUUUUUCGGCUAGGGAUGGACUCGCGGCCUAUCAGCUAGUUGGUGAGGUAACGGCCCACCAAGGCGACGACGGGUAGCCGGCCUGAGAGGGCGACCGGCCACACUGGGACUGGGACACGGCCCAGACUCCUACGGGAGGCAGCAGUGGGGAAUAUUGCGCAAUGGGCGAAAGCCUGACGCAGCGACGCCGCGUGGGGGAUGAAUGCCUUCGGGUUGUAACCCCUUUCAGCAGGGACGAAGCGAAAGUGACGGUACCUGCAGAAGAAGCGCCGGCUAACUACGUGCCAGCAGCCGC
rnacentral:rRNA from 1 species